rnacentral:rRNA from 1 species
AUUGAACGCUGGCGGCAGGCUUAACACAUGCAAGUCGAGCGGGGUGAUGGUGCUUGCACUAUCACUUAGCGGCGGACGGGUGAGUAAUGCUUAGGAAUCUGCCUAUUAGUGGGGGACAACAUCUCGAAAGGGAUGCUAAUACCGCAUACGUCCUACGGGAGAAAGCAGGGGAUCACUUGUGACCUUGCGCUAAUAGAUGAGCCUAAGUCGGAUUGAGCUAGUUGGUGGGGUAAAGGCCUACCAAGGCGACGAUCUGUAGCGGGUCUGAGAGGAUGAGCCGCCACGCUGGGACUGGGACACGGCCCAGGCUCCUACGGGGGGCAGAAGUGGGGAAUAUUGGACAAUGGGGGGAACCAUGAUCCAGCCAUGCCGCGUGUGUGAAGAAGGCCUUAUGGUUGUAAAGCACUUUAAGCGAGGAGGAGGCUCUUUUGGUUAAUACCCAAGAUGAGUGGACGUUACUCGCAGAAUAAGCACCGGCUAACUCUGUGCCAGCAGCCGCCGUAA